AUUGAACGCUGGCGGCAUGCCUUACACAUGCAAGUCGAACGGUAACAGGUUAAGCUGACGAGUGGCGAACGGGUGAGUAAUAUAUCGGAACGUGCCCAAUCGUGGGGGAUAACGCAGCGAAAGUUGUGCUAAUACCGCAUACGAUCUACGGAUGAAAGCGGGGGAUCGCAAGACCUCGCGCGAGUGGAGCGGCCGAUAUCAGAUUAGGUAGUUGGUGAGGUAAAGGCUCACCAAGCCGACGAUCUGUAGCUGGUCUGAGAGGACGACCAGCCACACUGGGACUGAGACACGGCCCAGACUCCUACGGGAGGCAGCAGUGGGGAAUUUUGGACAAUGGGCGCAAGCCUGAUCCAGCAAUGCCGCGUGCAGGAAGAAGGCCUUCGGGUUGUAAACUGCUUUUGUACGGAACGAAACGGUCUGGGUUAAUACCCUGGGCUAAUGACGGUACCGUAAGAAUAAGCACCGGCUAACUACGUG
rnacentral:rRNA from 1 species